UACGUAGGGUGCGAGCGUUAAUCGGAAUUACCGGGCGUAAAGCGUGCGCAGGCGGUUCGUUGUGUCGGCGGUGAAAGCCCCGGGCUCAACCUGGGAAUGGCCGUUGAAACUGGCGAACUGGAGUGUGGCAGAGGGGGGUGGAAUUCCGCGUGUAGCAGUGAAAUGCGUAGAUAUGCGGAGGAACACCGAUGGCGAAGGCAAUCCCCUGGACCUGUACUGACGCUCAUGCACGAGAGCGUGGGGAGCAAACAGG
rnacentral:rRNA from 1 species